GACGAACGCUGGCGGCGUGCUUAACACAUGCAAGUCGAACGCUGAAGCUUGGUGCUUGCACUGGGUGGAUGAGUGGCGAACGGGUGAGUAAUACGUGAGUAACCUGCCCUUGACUCUGGGAUAAGCCUGGGAAACUGGGUCUAAUACUGGAUAUGACAUGCCACUGCAUGGUGGUGUGUGGAAAGGGUUUUACUGGUUUUGGAUGGGCUCACGGCCUAUCAGCUUGUUGGUGGGGUAAUGGCCUACCAAGGCGACGACGGGUAGCCGGCCUGAGAGGGUGACCGGCCACACUGGGACUGAGACACGGCCCAGACUCCUACGGGAGGCAGCAGUGGGGAAUAUUGCACAAUGGGCGGAAGCCUGAUGCAGCGACGCCGCGUGAGGGAUGACGGCCCUCGGGUUGUAAACCUCUUUCAGCACGGAAGAAGCGAGAGUGACGGUACGUGCAGAAGAAGCGCCGGCUAACUACGUG
rnacentral:rRNA from 1 species